rnacentral:lncRNA from 1 species
AACUAUUUCCUCGAGUGUUAUAGUCAUUUGCCUAUUACCUAUUCUAAAAGCAGAACACUCUGGGUCCCAAAGAUGUACUAAAGCCUCUACCAAAUAACCGUUGGAUUUGAUCUCCUUAAAGUCUCCAAUCGGUCCUAAAUAUUGGUCUACUUGAUGCAAUUCACUGGGUAGCAUGAAGAUAGGCCAUUUUUAAACCUCAGUCAAUGGUAUCAACAACUGAUAAAUUCGGCGAGGGCAAUCCAUCU